rnacentral:rRNA from 1 species
UACGUAGGGGGCUAGCGUUGUCCGGAAUCAUUGGCGUAAAGCGCGCGUAGGCGGCCCGGUAAGUCCGCUGUAAAAGUCAAAGGCUCAACCUUUGAAUGUCAGUGGAUACUGCCGGGCUAGAGUCCGGAAGAGGCGAGUGGAACUCCUGGUGUAGCGGUGGAAUGCGCAGAUAUCAGGAAGAACACCCGUGGCGAAGGCGGUUCUCUGGGACGGUACUGACGCUGAGACGCGAAAGCGUGGGAGCGAACAGG